CCUCUUCAAUUUGUUGAGGGCAGAUGAAAUGAAUAUGGCUGUCGAACCCGCCAGCGGUGAGAAUGCGUCCCUCACCGGCAAUGAUUUCGGUGCCAGGGCCGAUGAUGAGAUCGAUGCCCGGCUGGACAUCGGGAUUGCCCGCCUUGCCAAUGCCGAUAAUGCGCCCAUCACGCAGCCCGACAUCGGCUUUGACAAUGCCCCAAUGGUCGAUGAUCACGGCAUUGGUGAUAAUUGUAUCCGCCGCGCCCUCGGCUUUUGAGGCCUGGCCUUGUCCCAUCCCGUCGCGAAUG
rnacentral:sRNA from 1 species